ACGAACGCUGGCGGCGUGCCUAAUACAUGCAAGUCGAGCGGAACUGAAAGAGCUUGCUCUUUCAGUUUAGCGGCGGACGGGUGAGUAACACGUGGGCAACCUGCCCUGCAGAUCGGGAUAACUCCGGGAAACCGGUGCUAAUACCGAAUAGUUUUUUGCCCCUCCUGGGGCGAAACGGAAAGACGGUUUCGGCUGUCACUGCAGGAUGGGCCCGCGGCGCAUUAGCUAGUUGGUGGGGUAAUGGCCCACCAAGGCGACGAUGCGUAGCCGACCUGAGAGGGUGAUCGGCCACACUGGGACUGAGACACGGCCCAGACUCCUACGGGAGGCAGCAGUAGGGAAUCUUCCGCAAUGGACGCAAGUCUGACGGAGCAACGCCGCGUGAGUGACGAAGGUUUUCGGAUCGUAAAACUCUGUUGUGAGGGAAGAACAAGCAUCAUUUAACUGAUGGUGCCUUGACGGUACCUCACCAGAAAGCCACGGCUAACUACGUGCC
rnacentral:rRNA from 1 species